GAGGAAUAUUGGUCAAUGGACGGAAGUCUGAACCAGCCAAGUAGCGUGCAGGAUGACGGCCCUAUGGGUUGUAAACUGCUUUUGUAUGGGGAUAAAGUUAGGGACGUGUCCCUAUUUGCAGGUACCAUACGAAUAAGGACCGGCUAAUUCCGUGCCAGCAGCCGCGGUAAUACGGAAGGUCCAGGCGUUAUCCGGAUUUAUUGGGUUUAAAGGGAGCGUAGGCUGGAGAUUAAGUGUGUUGUGAAAUGUAGACGUUCAACGUCUGAAUUGCAGCGCAUACUGGUUUCCUUGAGUACGCACAACGUUGGCGGAAUUCGUCGUGUAGCGGUGAAAUGCUUAGAUAUGACGAAGAACUCCGAUUGCGAAGGCAGCUGACGGGAGCGCAACUGACGCUUAAGCUCGAAGGUGCGGGUAUCAAACAGGAUUAGAUACCCUGGUAGUCCGCACAGUAAACGAUGGAUGCCCGCUGUUGGUACCUGGUAUCAGCGGCUAAGCGAAAGCAUUAAGCAUCCCACCUGGGGAGUACGCCGGCAACGGUG
rnacentral:rRNA from 1 species